UACGUAGGGUGCGAGCGUUAAUCGGAUUUACUGGGCGUAAAGGGCGCGCAGGCGGCUUUGUUUGUCAGGCGUGAAAGCCCCGGGCUUAACCUGGGAACUGCGUUUGAUACGGCAGGGCUAGAGUUCGGGAGAGGAGAGUGGAAUUCCCAGUGUAGAGGUGAAAUUCGUAGAUAUUGGGAAGAACACCGGUGGCGAAGGCGGCUCUCUGGACCGAUACUGACGCUGAGGCGCGAAAGCGUGGGGAGCAAACAGG
rnacentral:rRNA from 1 species